AAAAUUAGAGUGUUCAAAGCAGGCAGAUUCAAUUUUCUGCCACCGAAUACAUUAGCAUGGGAUAAUGGAAUAGGACCCUGUCCUCCUAUUUUCAGUUGGUUUUGGCAGCGCGAGGACUAGGGUAAUGAUUAAUAGGGAUAGUUGGGGGCAUUAAUAUUUAAUUGUCAGAGGUGAAAUUCUUGGAUUUAUGAAAGAUUAACUUCUGCGAAAGCAUCUGCCAAGGAUGUUUUCAUUAAUCAAGAACGAAAGUUAGGGGAUCGAAGACGAUCAGAUACCGUCGUAGUCUUAACCAUAAACGAUGCCGACCAGCGAUUAGGAGACGUUGAAUACAAAACACCACCAUCGGCGCGGUCGUCCUUGGCGCGUUCGUGUUCACGCACGGGCGCGCGAGGGCGGCUUAGCCCGGCCCCGG
rnacentral:rRNA from 1 species